GGCCCUUGCUACACUUUGGGGGAUUGGGGCCGGGGCCCUUAGAGGGGGGAAUUUCACGUCGUUUUCGGCGAAAAGGGGAAUUUUACAAGAUCUUUUCACCAAUCAUUCAACACUUAAUAUUGCUCUAUUUUAAUGUAAUUUACAUAAAUAUACUUUUAAUCAAAGGUUUAAAGCAAGAUACCAGCUGGCAACAUAGGUAUAAAAGUAUAAAAAAAAAUGAAAUUAUUCUCGGUUUGAUAAAUACGGUAUAGUAUGGUUUAUUACGUGUUAUUUAGAAGAGAGAUUAUGGUAAUGGUUUAGCGCGAAUAAGGCACGGGUUUUGUGUGCAUGUUUUAGCGCGAAAGCGCACGAGUUUUUCGUUUUGGGGUAUAUAUGAUUUGCACAUCUAUUGAGUCGCCAUUCGAGGGUGUAUUUGACAGGCAAACGUUAUGGAACAAGAAAAUGAAAGGGUGAUAAAGUAGUUUAGGCGUUCAUUUGCGAAAUACAUAGUAUUCGGAAGGAGAUUUUCGAUGAGAGGACUGACUCUCUGCUAGAAGCGGAAUGGUGAGCUGGAACUUCAAACAAAGGUCAGACUUGUUGGUUCUGUUUAUUGUAAUAACACUGGCAACAACAUUCCGAUGGAAAUUAACACAGGUUGUGUUCUUUGUUAACUUUUAUGAUAAGUAUAUUCAAUAACAUGCUCCAUAUCUUUAUUUGUGCUGUUGUUUUUGUUUAGUUCCAACUAUUCAGAUACAUCAAUUGAUUUGAUUAUUGGGUAAAAAUGAAACUAUUUAAGUUCAAAAAGAGGUUGCAAAUGUAAUGGUCUGGUAGGAUUAUAUAUAGGUAAGGCCACAUAGUGUGUCACUCCAGGUUGUUUUGAUAGCAGAGUUAGAUCACUCUCCCUCACGUUUUUACGAACAACUUGCUUUAUUUUUAUUGUUUUUAAGAUAUAACUCCUUAUAUGGUAAUACAUGUGUUACAAGUUUGUGUAUUAGUUCCAAACGCAUAAUUCAACAAACGAUUAAUAUCGAUUAACUGCCGUUUUCCUUAUAAUUCAGCACGAUGGUUGUGUGCGAUAUAUGACGUGGUAUGAUAAUGAGCGGAUGAAAAUUUAUGCGAACAUAUCUUUAAACUAUUCAGGUAUUCCAAUUGUGAAUUACGAAUGUAACAUCAAAAAUCGAUACAUUACGGAAAUAUUUAUUCUAUUCAUCUAUGAAACAGCUAUAGAGACUUGUCUUGUAAACUUUUUUCGAAACAUGUUUGUGUUUUGCAUAUAUUACAUCUCGUUCGCUGGAUAUUGAAUAAACAGUUUAUAAGUUUUUGAUGUAUACAAUUAAAUUUUUUCUCUAAAUUGAAUUAAAACAUUAAGAGUUAUUAUAUUUUUCAUAAUAAUUUAAGACGUUAAGUUAAGUUUUCCCUGCAAGGUUGGUGUCAAUAAUGGUGCAUGCAUAUGUGCUAAUUAAUUAACGAUAUUUUGGAUAAACUGUGGUAUAAAUUUGGUUUGAAAAGAGCGUUGACAAUAAGACUGUUGUUUUAAACUUAGAUGAAAGGCAUUUAUCGGUUUUGUUAAAUUUAGUUUCGUCAUAGUUAAAUGCAUUUUUAAAGAUUAGGUACUGUAAUGAUAACAAAAGUAGACCGUAUUUAUUUGCAAUAUAAGUCAUUUUGUUUUCGUGAUAGUUUUUGUUCUUGUUUGGUGGCCUGUUGGCUUGGUGUGUAAAGACAUUUUGCUUUUAUGGUGUUUGGCCGUUUUUUGAAUGCCAGUUAACAUGUGUAAUUUGCUUAUCGUUUUGGUAAAAGCCAGCUGACCAGAUGUGGAUAAACCCAGUUAGCGCGUGUAGUUUGUUAACCAAACUUGUUAAAACGUGCGUUUACAUUUACAUUUUUGUUUUUAUUUAAUGUUAAGAUUGUACUGUUCGAAGGAUAUUAUAUAUAUUGGAGAACAUUAAAUGUAUGUUAUUAAGGGCCAGAUUGGCUUAUGUAAAUUAACCGGUUGGCUCGGGUUGUCUGUUGACAGUUUGUUGAAAGCAGAUUUUUUCAGAUGCGUAUAAGCCAGUUUUCUUGCGUGUAAGUUCACUAAAAUGUCUCAAAACACAUGUUGAAAUUGCAUUUACACAUGUUUGCGAAGUUUAUUUUUUCAGAAGCUGGACAGUUCGAAGAAUAAAUAAUGAAUAGUGUAACAUUAUAGUAAGAGGGCAGCUCGAAAGGUAUAAUUUGUUUUGUUUUUUGUGUAAUUAUGUGUUAGAAAAUAACUUGUUUAGAUUAAUAAUGAUGAUUUUAUUGAUGAUGAUGUUAUAAAUGUUGAUGAUGAUGCUAACGUUAUUGAUGAGGAGGAGGAAUGGUUGACAGUAUUUUGUGAAUGGAUAAUACUACAUUAACGAAUUUUGAGUGAAUGAAAUUAUUUUAGGUUUGAUAAAUACCGAAUGAUGUUGGUCUAUACAUAUUAUUUAGAAGAAAAAGAGAGUAUGGUUAUGGUUUAGCACGUAAAAAUGAAUGAGUUUCUGGGUUUUGCGUUUAAUUGAACAAAAACAAGUAACGGCUCAGCAACAGGGAUUAUUCUCAGAUGGAACAUGUAUUCCUUUUAGAGUCACAGAAAUUCAACUUUGCAUCAAUACCGGUUUUCUUUGAGAUUUGUUUGAUGGGUUAAAAUUCCAAAAAUUGACGGAGUUUUGCAGCCGACCAAGUACCUAUAGCUUUGUAUUUGAGUGUGUUAAGCAUUUUGUUGUUUUCAAAUUAGUAAAUCAAAAUUAAUACGGUGUUCUAGUAUAUCAAUUGAGCUUAUGCUAUUGCCAUGGAAAUUUGAGCCAGGGUUCGAUCAGUAGCUUAAAGUAUGUCUGUGUUGGUGAAUUGAACCUAAAAACAAAUGUCAAGUCGGUAGUUUUAAUUUUAAGAGCAGAACAUACGUAUUGAUUGUGAGAACAUUAGUAAAAUGUGUUUGGUAUUUGUGCAUGUCUCUUGUGGUCAUUGGACCAAAUCGUUUUAAGGCCAAUUGGCCUGAUUUUGAAAGCCAGUUGGCUUGUAUUGUCAGUUGACCGUUUUUAAAGCCAGUCUAUAUGAUGUGUGAAAGCCUGUUGGCUUGUGUUGUCAGGUUACCGAACUUUCUUAGAACGAAAGUCUCAUAGAAUUAACAAUAUUUGCAAGUUUAUUGUUUGCAAUGCAGUAACUAGACAGUUCGAAUAUUAUAUUAAGUAUUGAAGAACAUAAAGGUAUGGUUUAUGUAGUAUGUUAUUAUUAUUACUAGGAUUAUUAUGAUGUAUUUUAUUUGGGUGCAUUCGGAGAAUUGCAAAGCCGGUAGUUAAAAAAGAGCCUAUUACAUCAGAUAUAUUAAAGAAAUUUUAUCACACUUUUGUUUCUGAGAGCGAUUGUUCUUUGGGGUAUCUUAUGCUGGUUUUUUAGGAUAAGUGAAUUUUUGUCUGUUAAAAGAUCAGAUGUUGUAUUUUUAGAUACGCAUUGUGAUAUUAAAGUUGAAAAGUCAAAAACGGACAUUUUAAGAGAAGGUAAUACUAUUCUGAUUGCAAAAACUAAUACAGACACAUGUCCUGUGAAAUUGUUUGAAAAGUAUUUGUGUGUUGCAGAUAUUGCAUGUUCAUCUACUGAUUAUGUGUUUAGACCCGUUAUUUGUGUAAUGUUAAACACUGUUUCAAAUUGAUUUCUAAUAAUAAGCAUAUAAGUUAUUCUAUUAUAAAUGAUAGUUUUAAGAAGAAGUUAAGUCUAUUGGGUUAUGUUUCUUCUAAAUAUGGACUUCAUUCUUUUCGUGCUGGUGGAGCAUAUAUAAGUGCCAAUAAUAAGACUGUGGAUAGACUUUGGCAAAGACAUGGUAGAUGAAAAAGUGUUUCCACUAAGGACGGAUAUGUUAAAGAUUAUUUGAAAGACAGAUUAUCGGUGUCGCUAAAUUUAGAUUUGUGAAAAGUCAUUAUUAAUGUAUGUGUGACUUGAAAUGUAUGAUGUGUUGUUCGUAGCACAUUUAAAGACACUAUUAUAUAUUAUUAUUAUAUAAAUGGUUUGGAAAUGCUUUUGAGUAUUAUUAAGUUCUGUGUUUGUGUUGUGUGUAUGUUCCUUGUGGUCAUUGGACCAAUUUGUUUACGGCCAUUUGGCCUCUUUUGGUAAGCCAGUUGGCUUGUAUGGUCAGUUGACCGUUUUUAAAAGCAAGUUGAUCUGAUGUGUGAAAGCCGGUUGGCUUUUGUGAGUUGACCUUAUUAUCUUAAAAAGCAUGUUCACAUGGAAUUAACAAUCUUUGCAAGUUUAUUUUUUGCAGUGCAGUAACUGGACAGUACGAAUGGUAUAUUAAGUAUUGGAGAACAUAAAGUUAAAACACAGUUCGAGAGGUAUAUAACGUGGUGGAGAAUAUUUGGGUAUUCAUUUUAUGUUUCAUAUUAUUUGUAUUCUCUCUUUGUUUUAUUCGAAAGUCCUGUCAAAUACAAGCACUCACUCCUAUUUUGUCUUUGGUUUAUUAUUUGUAUGAUAAUGACAAUGAUGAUGAUAUGGGUUAUAAAGAUGAUGAGAUUUUAAUAGUAUUUUGAGAAUAGAGAAUAAUAAAUUUACUCAUAACUAUGAGUAAAUGAAAUUAUUCUCGGUUUGAUAAAUACGGUAUAGUAUGGUUUAUUACGUGUUAUUUAGAAGAGAGAUUAUGGUAAUGGUUUAGCGCGAAUAAUGCACGGGUUUUGUGUGCAUGUUUUAGCGCGAAGGCGCACGAGUUUUUCGUUUUGGGGUAUAUAUGAUUUGCACAUCUAUUGAGUCGCCAUUCGAGGGUGUAUUUGACAGGCAAACGUUAUGGAACAAGAAAAUGAAAGGGUGAUAACCCCGCCCGCCCGCCCUUAAUGAGCAAAUGUUUGGUUAAAUAAUUGAUUACAUUGCUUUUAUGUUUAUAAUUUUGCAAUUAUAAAGUCUAUAUUUAGUAUAUUUUCAGUUCAGUUUUUAGUCCAUGUGAGAUGGGAUCUUAGCACAAACCGAUUCCUUUACUGGGAAAGACGAUGGGUGUAUUUUCAUUUAAGUCUGAAGCAGCUGAGUUUUCUUGAUUAUUUUGACUCAUUUUUUAGUUAAUAUUGUGUUUGAAUGAGGUUUUUUAAGUUAUGGGUGUCAUGUUUUUCGAGACUCUCACUUCCUGGAGAUAGUACCUCCAGCAUAUUUAUUGAAAUAUUAGAAUGUUUAAAUUUCAGUGUUAUUUUUUAUUGUCUUUCGUAAUGAACGUUUAAUUUUAAAGACAUUCUUAUUGUACGAUUACUUCAUAUUUUCAUUUUGGUGUGACUGGUUAGAUACUGAAGUCGGUUUAAUAUAGCUGUUCGUCAUAUGCAUUUAUAUAUAUCUCGGAAUACUUAUGAUUUAUCAAAAUUCUUUUUAGGUGCAUUAUGGAUUUUAUGGUUUGAGUGAUUUGUUUGUUUUUAUGUUGAUGUCCGGGGUGUGUGCGGGAUGCUUUUGAUGUUUGUUUGUUAUGUUAAUUUGCGCAAUGAAAUUGAUAAUGUUUUAAUUACAUUUUAUACUAAAUAAUACUUAAUGUUUACAGUAUAAUAAUAGCUGCUUAUUUGUAGCUUUCUCUAAAAUUAGAGGUUUCGGGAGGUGAUGAAGGCACCUAGACACCGGUCUUGAGCCAUGGGUCCUCAUACGUCCCCCUGCCAUUAAAAGAAAAAAUAAGAAAACAAAAAUGGCAGUAGGGUUGCGUAUCCCGCUCGCGGUUUUACCUGAAUCGUUUAUUACUACUGAUUAUUGUAUGGGGUGUACGUGAAGUCAUGUACACUUCUCUUGAUUGGUGGUGAUGGAUGAAUCUUGCAGAUAUUAGCAGCUUCUUUGAACAAAUUAUUGUUUCACAAUUGUUAAUUGAUAAUAUUUAAGCAAGUUAGCGUGAUUGAUGGGCAUUGGGGGCGUCCUGUGUGCACUUUGGGCAUCGGCCGGGAUCAGUUUAUUCAAACAGUAACUCUUUAUUUGAGAUAUAUACAUGACGUCUUAUUGUUAUGAAUAAAUUUGCAUUUUUUCACAUGACACACAUGUGCAUGUGAAGAAUUCAUAAUUACAUGCCCUACAGCAUUUAAAUAGUAUCGUUUCAGUUCUUUAUACACCUGAACAAAGAUGUUACACCGUUUCCAGUCGUCUCGAGGCUCAUCAAUUGAGCGGUGCCGUUGAGGUCUAUAUCCAUUGCACAUACAACACAUACGGGCGUCAGAAGAAUUGUUUUUUGCAUUUAUAUGUUGAAAGUCCUGUCAAAUACAAGCACUCACUCCUA